rnacentral:tRNA from 1 species
GGCCUCAUAGUUAAAUGGAUAUAACAAGCCCCUCCUAAGGGCUAGUUACAGGUUCGAUUCCUGUUGGGGCCGCCA